CGGUAAUUCCAGCUCCAAUAGCGUAUACUAAAGUUGUUGCAGUUAAAAAGCUCGUAGUUGGAUUUCUGCGGGGACGGAGCGGCCGGUCGCAACUUGCGACUCGAGCUAGCGCUUUCCCCGCAUCCUGCCGCGAACCGUGCUACCAUUAGCUUGGUGGCGCUGGGGAUCGGCUCGAUUACUUUGAGAAAAAUAGAGUGUUCAAAGCAGGCCACACGCCUUGAAUAAGUUAGCAUGGAAUAAUGACUAAGGACUUCGGUUCUAUUUUGUUGGUGUUCGGGACUGAAGUAAUGAUUGAUAGGGACAGUUGGGGCGGUCUGUAUUCCAAAGCGAGAGGUGAAAUUCUUAGACCUUCGGAAGACAAACAGCUGCGAAAGCGUUCCGCAGGGAUGUUCCCUUUGAUCAAGAACGAAAGUUGGGGGAUCGAAGACGAUCAGAUACCGUCGUAGUCUCAACUAUAAACUAUACCAGCUAGGGAUCGGUCAACGUUUAAUCAUUCGACUUGAUCGGCACCUUAUGAGAAAUCAAAGCAUCUGGGUUCCGGGGGGAGUAUGGUCGCAAGGCUGAAACUUAAAGGAAUUGACGGAAGGGCACCACCAGCCGUGGAGCCUGUGGCUUAAUUUGACUCAACACGGGAAAACUUACCAGGUCCAGACAUAGUAAGGAUUGACAGAUUGAUAGCUCUUUCUUGAUUCUGUGGGUGGUGGUGCAUGGCCGUUCUUAGUUGGUGGAGUGAUUUGUCUGGUUAAUUCCGUUAACGAACGAGACCCCAGCCUGCUAAAUAGCGCGGCUGAGCUUUGCUCGGUGCGAGCUUCUUAGAGGGACUAUGAUGCGCGAUAGCACAUGGAAGUUUGGGGCAAUAACAGGUCUGUGAUGCCCUUAGAUGUUCUGGGCCGCACACGGGCUACACUGGCGCCUGCAACGAGCAUAUCAGCUGGCCCGAGAGGGUCUUGGCUAAUCUUUUGAACCGGCGCCGUGCUUGGGAUUGACCAUUGCAAUUGUUGGUCAUGCAACGAGGAAUGCCUUGUAAACGCGAGUCAUCAGCUCGCAUUGAAUACGUCCCUGCCCUUUGUGCACACCGCCCGUCGCUCCUACCGAUGAAUGUUCCGAUGAAAUUUUCGGAGAGCGCCAGAGAACGGGGCUCUGCCUUGCAGAUCUGGAGGCUCAAAGUCACUUAAAUCUGAACAUUUCGAGGAAGGAGAAGUCGUAACAAGGUAGCCG
rnacentral:rRNA from 1 species